UCCCUGGGCAGCUCUCGGCUGUGCUUCCUUUUGUAGUCUGUAAUGGUUUGCAGGCCCUGUCCCGGACUAGUCUUAAUCUGUGUCCAAGAAACCUGCACCUAAUAAUACAAAUCUACUAGCUACGCGUGUAUGCUAAUGUUGUACACCUGUCUUCUCAUUUUCUCUCAGUUCUCUCACCACCUCCAGAGUCCCUCAAAGGAGAUGAGGACUCACAGAACUCUAAUGUCGUAGGCUGGUUCGUGACGGGCCUCGGCCUCAAGAUGCCACAGCCUGUCGCGAGAUCCAGAGAUGAUGUUGAAGUUGUGCCGAAUGGGGGGGUGGGAGCGCUGAGAGACCCUUAAACAAAAGGAGAAAGAAGACUGAGGAACCGUGAGAGAGACUGAGAACAAAGAGAUAGAGGCAGAAAGACAGACUUACCGACAUAGAUGAUUUUGGACAUUUAUACAGCUCCACUGAGCAACCUGGCAGCUGUGAGACAUCGCUUAUUUUUUUUUUACUUACCUUACUCUUUAUGGAAUGCAGAUAUUUUUGUUUGAUUUUAAUUGUGUAUAGUCAAUGUAUAACAGUUCAUUAAAAUGAACUGUUUGUCAGUUAAUGUCAGUUGUUCAAAUCUUGUCGAUAUGUAGCAAGAAAUGGGUCUUGUCUUCAUUGUAGUAAUCUUUGAAGUAAUUUGGAUUCAUUAAGAGAUUAAGUAUAUUAGAAAAUACWUACAGACACAUAGAGCUAUCAGGCAACAUUGUGUCUCAUAGUUUUUGUACAUUAAAUAUACCACAUUAAACUACUUUUUUGAAGGUAAAGAUUAUUGCUGCACUAAAAAGCUAACACAAAAACGACUUAAUCCUAUUGUACAUGUUUUCCCUUGUGACCUAUUCUCAUCGCCUUGAACUAUGAAUGUGGCCUAAGGUUGUAAUUAUGUUUAUUUUGAUCUGACAGAGUCAAACAGAGUCACGGCAGUCAAGUUAUUAUAAAUAAGUUGAUAAAUUAUGACAUCAUGCCUAAAAAGUAUGCCUGACAUUAUAAUAACGUGUUGUAAAAUAUUAUAAAAAUAAUAAAGAUAUCAUCUGAAAUAUUUUGUCGUGUUAAGAGAUGAUGAUAUUAAAUU